rnacentral:rRNA from 1 species
AUACGGAGGGUGCAAGCGUUAAUCGGAAUCACUGGGCGUAAAGGACGCGUAGGCGGGUUGGCAAGUCAGAUGUGAAAUCCUACAGCUUAACUGUAGAACUGCAUUUGAAACUGCUAACCUAGAGUAUGGGAGGGGGAGAUGGAAUUAGUGGUGUAGGGGUAAAAUCCGUAGAUAUCACUAGGAAUACCGAAAGCGAAGGCGAUCUCCUGGAACAUAACUGACGCUAAGGCGUGAAAGCGUGGGGAGCAAACAGGAUUAGAAACCCUAGUAGUCC